rnacentral:lncRNA from 1 species
GAGCGUAAGGCACCCGCUCCUGAGGACCCGAAGAACUCGCCAGACCGGCCUCAGCUGGCCUGGGUGCGGCCGACCCCGUUGCUUCUUGGCUAUUCCCCGGCUCAGAGCUGGGGAAUUGGGGUCGAGUAGACGACUGACCGGACCGCUGCGUGGUAGAGGUGGGGCGUGCGAGCGCCAGAUCUGUUGAGGUCCUCCCUCCCUGGUCGGAAUUUGGAGCUUCCCGCCGACCAGGGACUUGCGAAAUCGGCACCGGACACGGAGGUGCCAUCGUGGCUCCGCCAGAGCCCACGCCCUCUCCCCGACC